GGGAAAUAUUGCGCAAUGGGGGGAACCCUGACGCAGCCAUGCCGCGUGAAUGAAGAAGGCCUUAGGGUUGUAAAGUUCUUUCGGUAUUGAGGAAGGUUGAUGUGUUAAUAGCACAUCAAAUUGACGUUAAAUACAGAAGAAGCACCGGCUAACUCCGUGCCAGCAGCCGCGGUAAUACGGAGGGUGCGAGCGUUAAUCGGAAUAACUGGGCGUAAAGGGCACGCAGGCGGUUAUUUAAGUGAGGUGUGAAAGCCCUGGGCUUAACCUAGGAAUUGCAUUUCAGACUGGGUAACUAGAGUACUUUAGGGAGGGGUAGAAUUCCACGUGUAGCGGUGAAAUGCGUAGAGAUGUGGAGGAAUACCGAAGGCGAAGGCAGCCCCUUGGGAAUGUACUGACGCUCAUGUGCGAAAGCGUGGGGAGCAAACAGGAUUAGAUACCCUGGUAGUCCACGCUGUAAACGCUGUCGAUUUGGGGGUUGGGGUUUAACUCUGGCGCCCGUAGCUAACGUGAUAAAUCGACCGCCUGGGGAGUACGGCCGCAAGGUUA
rnacentral:rRNA from 1 species